AGCGAACGCUGGCGGCAGGCCUAACACAUGCAAGUCGAACGAACUCUUCGGAGUUAGUGGCGGACGGGUGAGUAACACGUGGGAACGUGCCUUUUGGUUCGGAAUAACUCAGGGAAACUUGUGCUAAUACCGAAUGUGCCCUUCGGGGGAAAGAUUUAUCGCCAUUGGAGCGGCCCGCGUCUGAUUAGCUAGUUGGUGAGGUAACGGCUCACCAAGGCGACGAUCAGUAGCUGGUUUGAGAGGAUGACCAGCCACACUGGGACUGAGACACGGCCCAGACUCCUACGGGAGGCAGCAGUGGGGAAUCUUGCGCAAUGGGCGAAAGCCUGACGCAGCCAUGCCGCGUGAAUGAUGAAGGUCUUAGGGUUGUAAAAUUCUUUCACCGGGGACGAUAAUGACGGUACCCGGAGAAGAAGCCCCGGCUAACUUCGUG
rnacentral:rRNA from 1 species